UACGUAGGGCGCAAGCGUUGUCCGGAAUUAUUGGGCGUAAAGAGCUCGUAGGCGGCUUCUUAAGUCUGGUGUGAAAUCUCCCGGCUCAACUGGGAGGGUGCGCCGGAUACUGAGGGGCUAGAGUGUGGGAGAGGAAAGUGGAAUUCCUGGUGUAGCGGUGAAAUGCGUAGAUAUCAGGAGGAACACCGGUGGUGUAAACGGCUUUCUGGACCAUAACUGACGCUGAGGCACGAAAGCGUGGGUAGCAAACAGG
rnacentral:rRNA from 1 species